GACGAACGCUGGCGGCGUGCCUAAUACAUGCAAGUAGAACGCUGAAGAGAGGAGCUUGCUCUUCUUGGAUGAGUUGCGAACGGGUGAGUAACGCGUAGGUAACCUGCCUUGUAGCGGGGGAUAACUAUUGGAAACGAUAGCUAAUACCGCAUAACAAUGGAUGACACAUGUCAUUUAUUUGAAAGGGGCAAUUGUUCCACUACAAGAUGGACCUGCGUUGUAUUAGCUAGUAGGUGAGGUAAUGGCUCACCUAGGCGACGAUACAUAGCCGACCUGAGAGGGUGAUCGGCCAAACUGGGACUGAGACACGGCCCAAACUCCUACGGGAGGCAGCAGUAGGGAAUCUUCGGCAAUGGGGGCAACCCUGACCGAGCAACGCCGCGUGAGUGAAGAAGGUUUUCGGGUCGGAAAGCUCUGUUGUAAGUCAAGAACGGGUGUGAGAGUGGAAAGUUCACACUGUGACGGUAGCUUACCAGAAAGGGACGGCUAACUACGUG
rnacentral:rRNA from 1 species